GAUGAACGCUGGCGGCGUGCCUAAUACAUGCAAGUCGAGCGAACAGAUGAGGAGCUUGCUCCUCUGACGUUAGCGGCGGACGGGUGAGUAACACGUGGAUAACCUACCUAUAAGACUGGGAUAACUUCGGGAAACCGGAGCUAAUACCGGAUAAUAUAUUGAACCGCAUGGUUCAAUAGUGAAAGACGGUUUUGCUGUCACUUAUAGAUGGAUCCGCGCCGCAUUAGCUAGUUGGUAAGGUAACGGCUUACCAAGGCAACGAUGCGUAGCCGACCUGAGAGGGUGAUCGGCCACCAUGGAACUGAGGAACGGUCCAAACUCCCACGGGAGGCAGCAGUAGGGAAUCUUCCGCCAUGGGCGAAAGCCUGACGGAGCAACGGCGCGUGAGGGAUGAAGGUCUUCGGAUCCUAAAACUCUGUUAUUUGGGAAGAAAAAAUGUGUAAGUAACUAUGCACGUCUUGACGGUACCUAAUCAGAAAGCCACGGCUAACUACGUG
rnacentral:rRNA from 1 species